rnacentral:lncRNA from 1 species
UCGAAAUCUAAUUAUUUAAGGAGCCAGUCACAUUUAUAUGGAAAUCCUUUCUUAGGUUAAUACAGCAUCUGGAUAGUUUCCAGACAUUCUUUUAACUUUUCUAAAUUUUUGUUUUAACGUCUUGAAAUCUAAGUUUGAAAUUCAUUUGUUAUUCAAUUUAAUUUCUAAUAUUUGAAAUUUAGAUUUCCAGAAAUUACUUCAUAAACUUCCUAAAUGGAGAAGCAGCAAAUGUUAAUUUCAUAGAAUUUGAUCAGACUCGGACAGAGAUUGAAACCCAUAAUCACAUAAUAUCGAGACGAACUAGAUGCAUUUAAUGCACAAUGAUUUUUCAUUUUUCACAUAAAUGUUGAAAUUUGAAUAAAUAUUAUGCAAUCGAUUGUGCCUUUAAAAUUCAUAUUAACGGUUGUAUUUCAGAAUUAUAAAAGUAUAACACUGUCUUUCGUUUAUUUAACGUAGUAACCUGAUUGUAAUAAAAUACAAUUCAAUAUUUGAGAAUAUAUUCGAACGUAAAAACCAUCAAUGCAACGGUAUACAAUGUAAGAACUGUAUGUUAUGAAGCAAAUAACACAAUACCAUUUACGGUACCAAUUUGACUAAUCCAGGUGUGCAUUUCGCAAGUAAUAUCUCUUUAGUAAUACCGAUGAGUAAAUAUAUGAAAUUUAAAAAUUCACACUAGGUGUGUACCAGAGAAGCCGAAUAUAUAUUUGUAUUGUUCCCUUGACCUAACAAUGAUUAAGCAGAUAGCAUUAAAUGACUUUUGACCUACAAAAACUGAAAAAAAUACUCAUAACAUAAUCAAUAUUACAGGCAUAAUUAUGAAAAAUUAAUCCUGCUCAAUGAAAAUGAGAUAGAAGUUAGGUGGACCCUGUCAGUUGGACAAAUUUACAUUAAUCUACAUUUUUUUCUAAAAAAUAAAUAUAGUUGAACUAUGAAUUAUAUCAAAUGACAAACAUACCUAAACAUUCAAAAGAAUUACGGCAAUCGAUAAUCAAUGAAUCAUUAAUAUUAUGUCAAGGCCAAGCGAAUCUUACAUAUACAUUUUCUCAUGGAAUCAUUUUUUCCUAGCCUUUUAACUGAUAUUAUUUUCAUUUAAGAACUUUGCUGUGCGUUUUUGUUUUAAAUUAUUGAUUUUUUGUUGUACCAAUCUUGUUACACAAGGUAUUUUGUUGGUUUCUAGAAACAUAUUUCACUGACCUACACCGAGUUUGAUAGCCUUAUGAAACAGGCACAUAUAAAUUAAAUCAACCUAGUAUUUGAAGAAGCGACACAAACCAAUCACCAGUGAGCACAGAGACAUUAUAGAUCGCUUUCAUUUUGCACUGAAAACUUUUGAAAUUUUGCAUCGUAUUAAGCAAAAUAAAACAUUAAGGUAAUUUUUAUUUUGAAUAAGUUAUCUCCUUUUGUCCAUUAUUGUAGGUAUAACACA